CCUCAGCCAUGUUCCGCGGGCAGCGGGGCCCGCCGCGCCACGCCGGCGGCGGGGCGCCGGGCGGGCUGCGCAGUUCUGUGAAAUAUCCACACUGCUGGCAUCAAGAACAGAAAUGUAGAAGCUGGAAUGAUUCAGACUCUUUGGUGUUUGAUGAAUAUCAGUGUAGGCAUUUAGACCAAUGGCUGGAGAGCUCUGCAACACCAGAACAUUCUAGGCCUCUUUCUAGUUGCCCAGACUGGGAAGGUAGAACUGAAGAAGGCAAAACUAUGAGGACAUCAAAUAAAAAAAUGACACAUUCUGUUUCAAGUGAUUCUGCUAAUCCAGCUGAAAGGGAAACAGAUGAAGUGGUUCUGAGGAGAAGACAAAAACAGAUCAAUUUUGGAAAGAAUACCCUUGCAUAUGACAGAUACAUUAAAGAAGUUCCAAAGAAUCAGCGAAUACCAGGAGUUCAUCCUAGAACUCCCAACAAAUUUAAGAAGUACAGCCGUAGAUCCUGGGACCAGCAGAUCAGGCUGUGGAAGAUUGCACUGCAUGCCUGGGAUCCUCCUACUGAAGAAACCUGGGAUCUGCAGCCAGUUACAGAACCCUCAGGCAGUUCCCAGGAAUGGUUCUGCAAAGACGAGGAUUUUUCUGGCUCCUUUGUAUUUGACGAAAAGCAGAAAAGAAAUGAGGGUGAAGAUGAAUGUAGGCAAACUGACUACACAUUGGAGAGCCCCUGUUCUCCCGAUUCUUCUCCAGUAUGGAAACGCAGAAAAAGAAACAAUUCUGACUCCUCUGUGGUUUCACAGAGUAAAAACCAUUAUGUGCAUAUGUACCACACACUGGAAAGUCUUACUGAAUCAGGACAUCAGGAGGCUUUUUCAAAGUGCCCAGAGUGGGAAGCCUUUGGUGAAAAUGAUGAAGUAAUGACAGUACAACAUGGUAUAGAAAUAACAAGUUGUUUGUUUUUAUGCAGUGACCCGAUUCCAGCCAGUUGUUGUUCAGGAUGGAACAAUCAGAAACAGAAAAAAACCAACUUCUUUCUGCCUGACAGCAAAACUUGCAGAGAUACAGACUGCAGGCUGGAGAGGCUUAAACUUUGUAGCAGUUUAUUGGAAGGACAUCCAUCAGAAUACCCUGAAAGGGAAUGGGGAAGUGCAAGUGCUGAAGAUAGAAUAAUGAGGAAGAAAAUUUAAAUAUUGAGUCUCUGUAUAUAGAAGGAUGGAAGAAGAAGGACUUUCUGCUGUGACAGAAGACUUUGAAGAAUAGGGAUGUACUCUGAGAUCAGCAGAUGAAGUCUUGGAAAACUGGUGCAGUUGCGCAAGAUCUGCACUGAAAGAGGAAGAGAUUUACAGUCAGCAUAUGUGCAAUCAGCAUAAGGUGAUAUGUGCAGGUUUCUCCAGAUCUUUAAGGAUAGAUUGUUUUCUGCAAGCUCUGCCUCAAGUGCAAAACUUCAGAUUUCAUUAAGCCUGUGCUACAAUGAUGAUGAUGUUCCUUAAAGCUUUUGUGAGAAUGUUUCUGCUGUACCUGCGUUGGCAGGUGAUAUGUACAUCAUAUUGUAAAGGCUACUUCAGUUGAUGGAUCCUGCUGUUGCCAUUUGGAGAUCGUGCUACUUGGAGCGCACUAAUGUCAUGCUGGUGAAUUGGUCCAAUAUUGAGUCAAACUGAAGAAUUCCCCCCCUUAAUCCAAGGAGUUAAACCCUGUUUCCUUUACUGGACCAGAAUUGUACAUCCAACCUGAAGAACUGCUUCAGAAGAAUGUAGAUAAUUUCAACCUUUCUCCAGUUGUUAAAGACAAACUGUUCUUAGCUUUUGGAUUGGGCGAUCAUCCAUUUGGCUUAUUUACCUUUCUCUGAGAUAAGAUACGUUAAACUAGCAUUUGCCUAAGCCUAGUGAGAGAAGAGAAGGAAAAGGUAGAUGGUUUAUCAAAAUCAGAUCCCCAACUGUUUGAACAGCAGCAAAGCCUAAAUACCUAGAUUUUGCUUUUAUGUGUGUUGCAGCCUGACCCAAAGAGCCAAGCUACUGCUAAGAGUAUAAAGGAUGAGUUCAGGGCCUGCUGUUCCUGCAGGAAUGGGAGAUGAGCAGCAUUAUUUGCAGGUUUGGAGCUGCCCUUGGGCAUGGGGUGUCCAGGCUAAGGGUUGUGACAGUGUUGAGAUAGGCUCUCCUUUGUUUUACUCUUCUAGCACUGUGAUUAAGAGGUCAAAGUGAGGGAUGUGGCUAUAGUGGAGUUUAGACCAGAUUCAUGUACCAGUUUCAGGAAUUUCUUGCAGUCCUUGUGGCAUUUUAUGUAGCAUGUACUGGGGUAGAAAUAUCCACUAGAGCUGGGAAUUGUCUCUUUGCAGGAGUUUGGUUUGGCUUUUCGCAAGGCCACUGCAGAACUGUGGCAGCGCUAGGGAUGACACACAGCAGCCUUGCUGUGGGGCUGGUAGUGUACCCAAGGGCCAAAAGCCCAUUGUGCUACUGAUGUGGAAGUAAGCUGCUUCCCCAGAAACUACUCCCAGUCCCUUCCAAAACAUUAUUUCCAGGUAUGCUCAGGCAUGGGGUUCAGUAGUGUCCCAGCACAAGGGUGGCUCAGUCACACACCACAGUGUGGAGUGUGCGUAUACAAGGAACAUGUCUGUAUGGCACUUUUUUAAGAAGUAAUAUUUAGAACCUUGUUGUUACAGUGUGCAUGCUUUCAUGUGGUUUAUGAUGAUUGUAAAUAAGGGAAUGUGUAACA